rnacentral:rRNA from 1 species
CAGUAGCCGCGGUAAUGCGUAGGUGGCAUGCGUUGUCCGGAAUUAUUGGGCGUAAAGGGCUCGCAGGCGGUUUCUUAAGUCUGAUGUGAAAGCCCCCGGCUCAACCGGGGAGGGUCAUUGGAAACUGGGAAACUUGAGUGCAGAAGAGGAGAGUGGAAUUCCACGUGUAGCGGUGAAAUGCGUAGAGAUGUGGAGGAACACCAGUGGCGAAGGCGACUCUCUGGUCUGUAACUGACGCUGAGGAGCGAAAGCGUGGGGAGCGAACAGGAUUAGAUACCCCAGUAGUCCCUGUCUCUUAUAC